rnacentral:hammerhead_ribozyme from 1 species
GCACUUUUGAGAAGUCCCAUAAUAGAACGAAACGGCCGUCCAGUAC